AACGAACGCUGGCGGCAUGCCUAACACAUGCAAGUCGAACGAGGCCCUUCGGGGUUUAGUGGCGCACGGGUGCGUAACGCGUGGGAAUCUGCCCUUUGGUUCGGAAUAACAGCUGGAAACGGCUGCUAAUACCGGAUGAUGACGAAAGUCCAAAGAUUUAUCGCCAGAGGAUGAGCCCGCGUUGGAUUAGGUAGUUGGUGGGGUAAAGGCCUACCAAGCCGACGAUCCAUAGCUGGUCUGAGAGGAUGAUCAGCCACACUGGGACUGAGACACGGCCCAGACUCCUACGGGAGGCAGCAGUGGGGAAUAUUGGACAAUGGGCGCAAGCCUGAUCCAGCAAUGCCGCGUGAGUGAUGAAGGCCCUAGGGUUGUAAAGCUCUUUUACCCGGGAAGAUAAUGACUGUACCGGGAGAAUAAGCCCCGGCUAACUCCGAAGGG
rnacentral:rRNA from 1 species